rnacentral:lncRNA from 1 species
GCUGCACCUUCAGAGGUCUCCUCAGAAUGGCACCUGCAACUUCAGCCUCUGUCUGUGAAGCAGGAAGCCAGGCAAGGUGGAUGCAUUAAUGAAUGUGAAGCACCCUUCUGUGAAGAAGAAAAAAAAAAAAAGAAAAGAAAGAGUGGGCCCCCGGGGUUGGGGGCCUGCCAGGAAAUAGGAGUUUACAAGCAGCAGCCCUGUCAGUUCAAAAGUGCUUGUCUCAUGGGUGAACCCGGACACCAGCUGUGUGAACAGGCUGGUCAGAGCCGCUUGACAGAUCAGCCGACUGUCAGCAACAGAGAGACGGACAGAGAGACAGAGAAAGGCGCGCAGCUUUCAUCUCCUAACGCCUCUGCGCUGUUUCAAGAGAGGCCCUAAAACCAGCCAGGACCUACCGGACAGCACAGGGAACUCCCCUCAAUAUUUUGCCCUCAUCUAUCAAGGAAUCAAAUCCGAAAAAGAAUUUAUAUGCAUAUAUGACUGAAUCCAUACACUGUCCUCCUGAAACGAACACAAGAUUGUAAAUCAACUCUAUUCCAAUCAAAAUUAAUUAAUGUACCAAAUAAAUAGGAGUUCCUGUCAUGGCUCAGUAGGUUAAGAGCCUGAUAUAGGAUCCAUGAGGAUGCGGGUUCCAUCCCUGGCCCCACUCAGGCUUGCAGAUUAACUCUGUUUUGCAUCUGGAACAUAAGAAAGCCAUGACCCUCUGCUAAGACCGAGUCCAAGGACUGAGCAUUGCCAGGGUGUGUCUGGUGUGUAAGUGCAGUGAACACACAGGUUUUGGGGGAUGCAAGGCCAAAGGCCGACCCCACCUGAGUACAUGGAACACAGGUAGAACCUGGAUGCUGUUUAACUGAGAAGAGGUGAGGUCGGGCGGAGGCUGUUCUCCUAGACACCAACCCCAGAAAGAGAGGCCUGGCCAGAGGGGGACAAUUUAGGGUCAGGAAGUGGCAGAGCCCAGGGCUCGGUCAGGGAGCCUACCCAUAAGCCUGGGUUUCCUUGCUGAGCCAGGAAGGAACAGUGGAUAAACAAGGUGUGCUGAGGGCAGCUCUGGUUUAGGGUAGAAAGUGCCAGCUGGUGACUGGGGGGUUCCCCGGGCUCGCGGAUAGAACAGAAACUUGUCAGUAUGGGUCACUGUCCUGAGGCUGCCAUCACUAAGCACCCCAUCAGGGGCUUAAAACAACAACCCUCCACCCUCCCCUCCCCUGGGGACCUGGUGUCUGAGGUCAAGGGGUCUCAGGGCUGCCCUCCCUCCAGAGGCUCCAGGGGAGGGUCCUUCCUGCCUCUUCCAGCUUCUGGGGGCUCCAGGCGGCCCUGGGCUGGUGGCCACCUCCCUCCUGUCUCUGCCUCUGUCUUCCCGUGGCUUCUCCUCUGUGACUGCGUCUCCUCUUGUGUCUCUCAGGAGGACACUGUCCUUGGAGGGAGGGCCCCCCUCAUCCAGGAGGACCUCCUCUCAGACCCUUCGCUUCAUCACAUCCGCACAGACUCUCUUCCCAAAUAAGGUUCUACUGCAGGUGUCAGGAGUCAGGACAGGGACAUGCCUUUUUGAGGAACUCAGUUCCACCCCCGUAACAUGCAAUUGUCAUCCAGACCAGCAUCCCUGCCACGGCAAUCAGAGAAGAAAAAGAAAUAAAAGGAAUCCCAACCGGAAAGGAAGAAGUAAAACUAUCCCUGUUUGCAGAUGACAUGAUGCUACACCUAGAAAACCCUAAAGAGGCUGCCAGAAACUGUUAGCGCAUCCAUCAAUUUGGUAAAGUCGCAGGAUACAAAAUUAACACACAGAAAUUGACUGCAUUUCUAUACACUAACAAUGAAGGAUCAGAAAGAGAAAUUAGGGAAACAAUCCCAUUUACCAUCACGUCGAAAAGAGUAAAAUACUUAGGAAUAAACCUACCUAAAGAGACAAAAACCUGUACUCUGAAAACU